UUCAUUUUUUCAUGUUCGGGCAGGGCACGCUUCGCACUAAAUGGAGUAUAAAUUUUGGUGCCUUCGGGCAGGACAAGCUUGGCUCAGCUGCUGGAAUUAUCUAUGAAAUGCAACAAAGUUCCAGUCUUCAUUCUGGUCGCUGCCUCGACAGAUCCCUUGGGGAAACAGUAACGUGUCGUAUGUUUCUGUGCUUUUCCGUGUACUGUAGUUGCGUGCAAAUCUUUUCGUACAAUGUUUACUUGUAAAAGCAUGUAGCCUUAAUGUAUCCGUGCUUUGACACUUUGUAAUUUAAAUGCAUGUUACUUUUCACUUUAAAUCCUGUGCAUCUGUAAUGGAAUGCGUGAUUUUGUAUGCAACUUUCGCUCAAUAAAUUGUUGAUUGGAGU
rnacentral:lncRNA from 1 species